AGAUUGUGCAUGUUAUCAGGAAGGACCUCGAAUUUCUCACACUCAAUAAUUUUAAGGCUUUUCAGAUGAACGAUAGGCAACCCUCCUUGUGGGAAAGAAACGAAACUUGGACACUUAUGUAUCCGAAAGCUGUGGAGAUUGGUGAGCAUGUGCAGGUUCUCGGGUAAGGAUUUAAGAGAAGAAGCACCUACGAUUUCAAUAGAUUCAAGAGAUGUGUUGUUGUCGAACCUUUCAAUUAUUGACUCUAAAAUUGCACCUACUCUUCCACUGUCAAAUAUGGAAUAGUUGAUAACCAGAUGUUUGAGGGAAGCAGGUAACUCCCCUAAGAAUGUAAGAGAGCGGCAGCCACCAAUUUUCAAAUGCUGAAGAUUAGGAGAGUUAGUGUUGCAGCUGAUACUUCCCUCAUCUGUAACCCUAGAAGAUGAACAAGCCUCUCCCACAUCCAGCAGCCUCUGCAACUUGUGGCAACGACUUAUCUCUAGCCUUUCUAGAGUUGGAGGUAGCUGGUGUCUUCCAAUAGAAAUCAGAGAUUCACAACUAAAAAUUUUCAACUCCUUAAGACACAAACUGCUGUAAAUCACUGCAUCCGGCAAAGAAAUAAGUUUUGGGCAGCAUUCAAUAUAUAGCUUUCUCAGAGACUUAAAGCUGUGAAGCCAUGGCUGUAGUUUCUCAAGGCUUUUACAACCUCUUAAUUCCAAAAUUUUAAUUUCACAAUCAACAACACCCUUUCGCAACAACUCUUCAUUUUCAGCGAUGCCCUUUUGCGAAAACUCUUCAUUUUCAAAUAGCACCCAAUGUGGAAGAGAGGGAUGUGGGUAAUCGUAAUCUGAAACAUAAGAACCAACAACAGUCAACUUUUGUACCUUUCUUAGGUUUUGAAAAAACUCAUUCAAUGGAAAUAAAAAUGAUUCUACAUCACGAAUUAUCAUGAGGUUUGCCGAGCUUAAGCCUCCACCCAAAUUAACCUUUCUGCAACCAUAGAUUACCAAGUGAUAUAUCACCGGAAGGCUUUGAAAUGAAACCACCAAUUGCGUACAUUGUCUAAUCUCAAGCUUUUGCAAUGAAGGCAAAUGGCUGGGUAAUUUUCCGAACAGUUUGGGACACCUAACAAUGGAAAGCUCACGUAGAUGAGAGAAUUCAUAUCCACAAAAAUUCCACUCUUCCCAUUCACUCAUCCAGUAGAAGUGCAGAGUCUCAAGAGCUGGAAAAGGA
rnacentral:misc_RNA from 1 species